rnacentral:rRNA from 1 species
GACGAACGCUGGCGGCGUGCUUAACACAUGCAAGUCGAGCGAUGAAGCACCUUCGGGUGUGGAUUAGCGGCGAACGGGUGAGGAACACGUGAGGAAUCUGCCUUCCACUCUGGGAUAACUCCGGGAAACCGGGGCUAAUACCGGAUAUUUUCAACUGGCGGCAUCGCCGGUUGAAGAAAGUUUUUCGGUGGAAGAUGACCUCGCGGCCUAUCAGCUUGUUGGUGAGGUAAAGGCUCACCAAGGCGACGACGGGUAGCCGGCCUGAGAGGGUGAGCGGCCACACUGGGACUGAGACACGGCCCAGACUCCUACGGGGGGCAGCAGUGGGGAGUAAUGGGCAAUGGAGGAAACUCUGACCCAGCGACGCCGCGUGAGGGAUGAAGGCCUUCGGGUUGUAAAACUCUUUCAGCAGGGAAUAAGCGAAAGUGAAGGUACCUGCAGAAGAAGCACCGGCUAACUAUGUGCCAGCCGCCGCAGUAA